GACGAACGCUGGCGGCGUGCCUAAUACAUGCAAGUGGGACGCAAGAGAACACACUGUGCUUGCACACCGUGUUUUCUUGAGUCGCGAACGGGUGAGUAACGCGUAGGUAACCUUCCUAUUAGCGGGGGAUAACUAUUGGAAACGAUAGCUAAUACCGCAUAAUAUUAAUUAUUGCAUGAUAAUUGAUUGAAAGAUGCAAGCGCAUCACUAGUAGAUGGACCUGCGUUGUAUUAGCUAGUUGGUAAGGUAAGAGCUUACCAAGGCGACGAUACAUAGCCGACCUGAGAGGGUGAUCGGCCACACUGGGACUGAGACACGGCCCAGACUCCUACGGGAGGCAGCAGUAGGGAAUCUUCGGCAAUGGACGAAAGUCUGACCGAGCAACGCCGCGUGAGUGAAGAAGGUUUUCGGAUCGUAAAGCUCUGUUGUAAGUCAAGAACGUGUGUGAGAGUGGAAAGUUCACACA
rnacentral:rRNA from 1 species